AACGAACGCUGGCGGCAUGCCUAACACAUGCAAGUCGAACGAAACCUUCGGGUCUAGUGGCGCCCGGGUGCGUAACGCGUGGGAACCUGCCCUUAGGUUCGGAAUAACUCCCCGAAAGGGGUGCUAAUACCGGAUAAUGUCUUCGGACCAAAGAUUUAUUGCCUUUGGAUGGGCCCGCGUUGGAUUAGCUAGUUGGUAGGGUAAAAGCCUACCAAGGCGACGAUCCAUAGCUGGUCUGAGAGGAUGAUCAGCCACACUGGGACUGAGACACGGCCCAGACUCCUACGGGAGGCAGCAGUGGGGAAUAUUGGACAAUGGGCGAAAGCCUGAUCCAGCAAUGCCGCGUGAGUGAUGAAGGCCUUAGGGUUGUAAAGCUCUUUUACCCGGGAUGAUAAUGACAGUACCGGGAGAAUAAGCUCCGGCUAACUCCGUG
rnacentral:rRNA from 1 species